AUUGAACGCUGGCGGCAUGCCUUACACAUGCAAGUCGAACGGCAGCGGACCUUCGGGUGCCGGCGAGUGGCGAACGGGUGAGUAAUAUAUCGGAACGUACCUUUCAGUGGGGGAUAACGUGGCGAAAGUUACGCUAAUACCGCAUAUUCUGUGAGCAGGAAAGCAGGGGAUCGCAAGACCUUGCGCUGAUUGAGCGGCCGAUAUCAGAUUAGCUAGUUGGUGAGGUAAAGGCUCACCAAGGCGACGAUCUGUAGCGGGUCUGAGAGGAUGAUCCGCCACACUGGAACUGAGACACGGUCCAGACUCCUACGGGAGGCAGCAGUGGGGAAUUUUGGACAAUGGGCGCAAGCCUGAUCCAGCCAUGCCGCGUGAGUGAGAAGGCCUGGUGUAAG
rnacentral:rRNA from 1 species